GAUGAACGCUGGCGGCGUGCCUAAUACAUGCAAGUCGAGCGAACAGACGAGGAGCUUGCUCCUCUGACGUUAGCGGCGGACGGGUGAGUAACACGUGGAUAACCUACCUAUAAGACUGGGAUAACUUCGGGAAACCGGAGCUAAUACCGGGUAAUAUAUUGAACCGCAUGGUUCAAUAGUGAAAGACGGUUUUGCUGUCACUUAUAGAUGGAUCCGCGCCGCAUUAGCUAGUUGGUAAGGUAACGGCUUACCAAGGCGACGAUGCGUAGCCGACCUGAGAGGGUGAUCGGCCACACUGGAACUGAGACACGGUCCAGACUCCUACGGGAGGCAGCAGUAGGGAAUCUUCCGCAAUGGGCGAAAGCCUGACGGAGCAAUGCCGCGUGAGUGAUGAAGGUCUUCGGGUCGUAAAACUCUGUUAUUAGGAAAGAACAAAUGUGUAAGUAACUCUGCCCGUCUUGACGGUACCUAAUCAGAAAGCCACGGCUAACUACGUG
rnacentral:rRNA from 1 species